rnacentral:rRNA from 1 species
GACGAACGCUGGCGGCGUGCUUAACACAUGCAAGUCGAACGGGGAAGCCCCAGCUUGCUGGAGUGGAUCAGUGGCGAACGGGUGAGUAACACGUGAGCAACCUGCCCCUGACUAUGGAAUAAGCGCUGGAAACGGCGUCUAAUACUGGAUACGAGAAGGGUCCGCAUGGGCACUUUCUGGAAAGUUUUUCGGUUGGGGAUGGGCUCGCGGCCUAUCAGCUUGUUGGUGAGGUAAUGGCUCACCAAGGCGACGACGGGUAGCCGGCCUGAGAGGGCGACCGGCCACACUGGGACUGAGACACGGCCCAGACUCCUACGGGAGGCAGCAGUGGGGAAUGUUGCACAAUGGACGAAAGCCUGAUGCAGCGACGCAGCGUGAGGGAUGACGGCCUUCGGGUUGUAUGCCUCUUUCAGCAGGGAAGAAGCGAAAGUGACGGUACCUGCAGAAGAAGCACCGGCUAACUACGUG